rnacentral:rRNA from 1 species
GCCUACGGGACGCAGCAGUGGGGAAUAUUGGACAAUGGGGGGAACCCUGAUCCAGCGACGCCGCGUGAGUGAAGAAGUAUCUCGGUAUGUAAAGCUCUAUCAGCAGGGAAGAAAGAAAUGACGGUACCUGACUAAGAAGCCCCGGCUAACUACGUGCCAGCAGCCGCGGUAAUACGUAAGGGGCAAGCGUUAUCCGGAUUUACUGGGUGUAAAGGGAGCGUAGACGGCUGAGCAAGUCUGAAGUGAAAGGCGGGGGCCCAACCCCCGGACUGCUUUGGAAACUGUAUAACUAGAGUGCAGGAGAG